AUGUGUGGGUCUCUGAGUCCCACCAUGCACUGUUGUCAUGUGUGGGUUUUAGUCUAAUUUGUUGACUUAGUUUUUAGGUUGUACUAGUUCUUAUUCCUGUUGUGUUAUAAUGGUUUAAUUCUAGUUUGUGAUUCCUCAAACAAUUUGUAUUGUAAUAGUUUAAUACUUAAGGUUCUUCGGACACGUGCUUUUAAUUGUACUUGAAAAACUUUCAAAGAAAAACAAAGCUAUGCCACGAGUAUCAUAGUUCUUUCAAAUGGAAGGUGAGAGUUCUUCGUCUUUUCCUCUUCUAUUUUUCUAACAGUUAAUUUUUCUCUAGGACUGAAGGAGAGUUUCUAACCACAUUUUCGACUUUCAGUAACCUUAAAACUCUAUAAUUAGUAGGAGUGCAAAUGAGACACUUGUGUUCACGAGCCGAACUCAGCCUCAGCCUCAAGCUAUUGAUCAAGCCAAACUCAACAACUUAAUACCUGAUUCGAAUGGCUCAUGAGCCAAAUCAAGCUUUUUAAUUUUAUAUAUUUUAAGUAUUUUAUAUUACUAAAUUACAUUUUACUCGUGGUUGUUCAUUGUAAGUAAUGUAAUCUGCCUUCCAUUUUUUUUCUCUUUCUUCUUUUUCUAGAUUUCCUCGGUUCUUAAUUUUGGUAGUUUUUGAAGUUGGUUUUCUGAAUUUGCAUGUUAUUAUGUGAAAAGUUGAAGGUUUGUGAUCGUUGUUGUUAAGUGAAUGUCGAGAAAAGUAGUGAAUUUAUCAGGUUCAGGUUUUCAUUGUUCAAGUUGAUUGUUUGGUUUAAGUGAAUCAAAGUAAGCGCCUCUUCAUUUCUCGAGUGAGGAAUGUAACGAUAGAGUUCCAUUUUGCUAAUAAUAUUGUUCAACAUAAAAGAAACUCAAUGCCUCAAGCUGGAAUCUCCAUUUAAGCUUUAUUUCAAGUGGUGUUCCAUAAGAAAAAUAAAAAUAAACAAAAAAACUCAUUUGAAGUAGUAAGAUAUCAAUCAGAUAUGUAAGGUUUCUUUUUGUUGGUUCUUCAAGUAAGACAUUGAAGAUUACAUAUUUUGUUGAUUUUUGCAAUAAGUUGUUAAAGAUCAAAUUUUCUGUGAUUUGAGAAACCAAAUUUUCUGCUUAGUUUAAUUGUUCCAUCAAGUGCAGCUUUGUUGCUUUCAACUUCUUUUCUAGUAUGACCUGAGUUAAAUAAUACUUUAAAUUACUUAUUGCAAUUCUAAUUAGACAAGAAUGUUCAGAGGCAUUAUAUAUAAUUUGUUUGGUAAGUGCCAUAGUGCAGGUCAAUAAGGUAUACACAUACAUAAUGUUAAUCUGUUUUCACCAAUUAUAUAUAACUAAGCUUUGGGUUCGGGUAGGAUUGCGGACGUAAAUUAAAAUUGUUGUACAGUUGAGUACGUGUAGCACACAGCAAAAUUAUGACAGUAUUUAUCUUUACUCCUUAAAAGGAUAGAUAGUAAUCUCAGUAUUCAAUUUAUUGUCUUUGAAUUUGAAAUGACUCUACUCUACCCAACCCAAAAUUAGUGAACAAAUAGAUUUUUUGCCAUAAAAUAAUGCUAGUGUAAAUACAUUUUUGAUGAUCUUUGUGUUAAUCUAUCAUUUUUUUAGUAAAUUUGAAUCUUUAGAGUGCCUUACAAUAUCUCAACUCUCAAGGGUGCAAAAGGUUUUUAUUUUUUAGGCUUUAUGGAGAAAAUAUAGACAGAUAUUCAUUCUUAUAUGUAUUGAGUAGCAUGUCAUAUUUUUUGUGUGUGGACUAGAAACUAUAUGCAUGAUUUUAAUUUUAAGUUAAUAAUUUGAUGGACUAAUAUUGUUGUGUUUAAAUACUUUAACGAAGAAUUUGAAUUUAUAUUUAAAAAUAUUUGGAUUUAGUUAUUGAAUUUUUUUUUAUUUCUAUCAUUAUGUAACGUGUUAAAAAACCAAAAAUUUUUUAACUUCAAACUAACAUAAAAUUUUAUAUGCAAAAGGCACUUCAUUCUAGCUAAAGCUCAAGCUUGACCUUGACUUAAACAAGCUCGGGUUCCAACUUCAGAGUAGAAGAAUCAAUAAACAAGCUUAAUCGAGCUCAUGUAGCUUGAUAAUAUCUUGAGCCAAGCUUGAGCUUAAAAAAUGAUAUUCGAUUGAGCUCGAAUUGAGUAUCGAGCCCCAAGUUUUUAAUCGAGCUCAAGCUUGCCAGUAUUUGUGCUCGGCUCGAUUACACACCUAAUAAUGAGAAACUUCGAUUGGUAGAUAGACAUUUUUAAAAUCAGGAAUGCCAAUCAAUUACCUUGUGCAUUCUUGUAGUCCAUGCUUGCUCCAUGGUCCAUGAGGGCAAACACUAUAUCGGUUCGAUUGAAUAAUGCCGCCUACAAGUUAAUACUGUCAUUAGUGUUAUAAAUUUGGAAAGAAAUGGAAAUUAAAAUUAUGCAUCCAAUCGGCCAGCCUUCACAAACAUGUAUAAACAAAUUGCACUCACGUGCAGCAAAAUAUAAACAUCAGAGAGAGAAAGAGAGAACACUACCAGAUGCAGUACAGAUAAUCCUUGCUUGUCACGGUAAUUUGCAUCUACACCCUGAACAUGUAAUCAUACUCAAAAAUUCAUUCGAACUGAACUUUGGAAUAAAAUCAUCACAUACCUCACUUAGAAGCCUUUUGACUGCAGCUGUAUCACCAUUCUUUAUAGCUUCUCUUAAACCCUGAGUAUAGUAUAAAUGCAGAGGAACAUAAUUCAAAAGAAGAAAAACACCAUGAAAAGUUGAAUAUCUCACAGCUAUAUUCAAACACUUCAACAAAGAGGUCUGCUUCUACCUCUCCAUUGACAUCAUAAUCCGUCUGAGAUUUAUCUGCAGCAGUACCAUUGGUCACCAGACCAGGAUUGAAAACCGAACUGCAAAAAUGUUAACCAUAUCUAAAUACCUAAAAGAGUGGCUAAAAUAGAAAGAAAAAUUUUCCACCAAAAGAGGCUAGAGACCUAAAAAUCAAAAUGGCAGGAAAAGUUUAAAGAGUGUAGGUCUUUCUCACAAAUAUCCCCCGCUAUAUUAAAAUCCAUUCUAGUAACUUCUAUCAGAAAGUUGAGUACAAACAAGAAAGCAAGAUGAAGAGAGAAGGUAAACUAAUUUCAGUGUUUUAUACCUCAAACCAGAAGGCCAUUGUAUUACUACCAUCCAGCUUCAUGUUUCAAAACAGGCUACUAGAAUGGACCAGAAAUAGUCGAAAUUUCCAUGUUUAAAUUCCACACAAAGUAAACCAUUUGAAACCAAACAUUAUGUUUGGAACGAGUGAAGAACAAAUAUUGCACACAAAAAUUAACAAAUGGCAUACCUAGAUUUACAGUUUGAAGUGGAGCCUCUACUCUUGGGAACAGUGUCAGUCUUUUUUGGUUUUGGAUUUGACGAAGCCACUGAGGAUGGAGGGUUUUUCAUCUGCCUCAAGAACAGAUAUGGGUCCAUAAGAAGUUUGGAUCAGCAUAUGAGGUGCUGCUAAAACUAAAGAAGAAUUCAUACCGUAAGUGGAACUGCAUCUGUUUUCGGUGCUGGACUUUCACAAAUACACAAAGGCAUUCCACACUUGCAUUCUGGAAUGCUUACAACAGGCUGUUGCUUUGCAGUUGCUUCAGUUUGUGCACCCACAUCUGCGUUAAUGUUUAAUCUAGCGACUUCGUCAGUAGCAGAACCAACUCCGCCUAAAGGAGGCUGAGGAUCAGCUUUUGCAGAUCUGCACCCAAAUAAAUUCAUGAGAAAAUUAAUGUAUAGAAACAAAACAAAUAUCAAUUAAACUAUCUCUUAAAAUAAUACUCAAAUAAAUAAGAAAAAAAAACACCAAAGUGAAGCAGGAGUAUCCACCAACACCAAGAAUCCAAUACAUAUCCAAGCUAUAGCCCUUUCCCCUUCUCUUUCUAACAAUGAUAUUUAAAUAUGUAAAUGGGUAAUCAAUCAAGAGACAUUUACCCUGAAGAGUUAUUGAAACAAUCUGCACAAACUCGAACAGACGAAAGUAUGCCAAAUUGCGGUAAAGGCUGAAUAUGCACACAUGAAAAAAAUAUAAAAGAUUGCUUAGUUAAAACUAGACUUUUACAACUUGAGAAAUGCAUAGUUAGCCCAAAUACAAAAACUGAGGGGCUGGGAGCUCAAACCAUUUGAUCAGAUGAAUGUUCAUGGCAUAAUGUCCUUCCACAACAUCGGCAAUGGUGCUGCAAAAUGAAGACGGUUUCAUGCAUUUUCCAUAAGGCAAUCAAUCUAACACGGAAUAGAUGCAUACUUCGAAGAAAAAUUGACACAAAAGUAUGCACAUUCACAUUUCCUUGAAACCAAGCAAUAAUAGCAUGACCUUUACAACACUAUUCCAUAAAGAAUAGAAUACUAACAUCACUUUGAUUAUAAUUGAUAUUAUAAGAGAUUUAUAGAGUUCAGUAGCAGUUAGGAAUUAUUAUCACACCACUUUAGUAGAUCAUUAGUUGCAAGGCGUUUGCAUAACAGCUUCCACAAACCAGAACCAAUUAUCCCAUUGAUAACAUGCAUACAAUAGGACUCAAAUUUGAAGGCCACCACUAGGUCAGUCACGUAUCCGAACUUAAAUACUCACAACAUCAGUCAUACACCCGAUUCAAUCUUUCAAAUUAAUAUAAGCGGUAAGCUUUGCCACAAAUUGAGUCAGCAAUAACUUCCAAAGCACCAAUUUACCGCAUCAAAAAAUUAAACCAUAAAAAUACUUAAUUAGAUUCAAAAUAACUCCGAAUCCGCAAUUAAACGAAUCAGAAACCUCAUCUUUUGCGUCAAUAGAUAAGUCAAACAGCUAAGAUCAAAGCAAAGGAGCACAGUCCAAUAUGAUUUAAGCAGUUACCGAUCUAUAACUAAAAAAUAAACCUAAUCGGUAUUCUUUCCUUCAUCAGACGAUAUAUUUCAUUAAUUUCAUCACACCAAAUGAAAAUGGUCGGGAAUUUAAUUCGUAUAAAAAUGAAAAUUACAAAAAAAGAAGAAGUAAAAAGCAAAUACCCGGCGCCUGAAAGUGUUGAAGCUGCAUUUGCAGACGUCGCAGCGAGGUGCUUCCUGAAAAGGUGGAGGCUCCGAUGACAUUUCCGAUCUCCUUUUUUCUCACUCCGGCGGCAAAAAACAGAUAAAGAUGCUGAAUUCUUUUUAGGUGCUUUUAUUGAUUUUUGGUCUUUUUUUUAUUUUUAUUUUAUCCGGAAAUGAUUCGGCGAUCGGGUUCUUAUAUUCGCAGAUCGUACCCGAAUUCGAUCCACGUACCCGCCAUGUCAGCGGGUUGGCGGGUGAAACCGGGAGAAAAAUAGAUAAGAGAAAAAUAAAAUUGAAUCACACUUAGAGGUGCUCAUGGGCCGGGCCGGGCCCAUAAAAAUUUUGGCCCGGGCCCGGCCCAAAAUAUGGGCCCGAAAUUUUACCCAAAAAUGGCCCGGGAAAAAUUAUAAGCACGGGCCCGGCCCGGCCUGGCCCAACCCAUUUUUAAUAAAAUACCAAAAUUUUAUUUUAAAAAUUAAAAAAAUUUAAAAAAAGUAUUUUAAAAAUAUUUUAAAAUUAAAAAAAUUUUAAAAAAUAAAUAUAUUUAUUAUAUCGGGCCGGGCCCGGGCCAAAAAGUUGUGCCUGAGGCCCGGCCCGUUUUCUAAACAGGCCUCAUUUUUUUGCCCGAGCCCAUAUUUCGGGCCUAUAUUUUUACUCAAACCCUCCCAUAUUUCGAGCGGGCCAUCGGGCCGGGCCGGGCCUCCCGGCCCAUGAGCACCUCUAAAUUCUCAUUGUACAUUUCUUUUUAACAUAAUAAUAUAUGGGUUAAAUCUCAAUUCUAAUCCCUCAAUUUUUUAGAUUAUAUAAGAAUAUUUAAUUUUUAGUUUUUAUCUCUAUACUUUACUUAAAUUUGAGAUUUAAUCUCUAUACUUCAAUUUUGAAAUAAUUUGGUACUUCAACUCUUAUAAUGUCACUAGUGGUUACAUUAGUCAGGUUAUCGAUCCACUAAUUCAAUUAAAUAAAUUAUCAAAAUCACUUUAAAAAAUUAUAGUUCAACUAGUUUUUAACUUGAUUUAAUCGGUUGAUAUUAAUUUUUGAGUCAACCGAUGUAAUGACUAUCUUUUAAAUUGAUAUCCCGACCAAUUUUGAAUCCAGCAGAUCUAAUUCAAACAACUAAAAUACCAAAAGAUCACAUGCAUGGUCCAUGAAGUCCAGAAUACGAAUAGCGAUCAACUGAUAAUUAAAUAGCCUAAGAUAAGGUAGUUUUCAACUCCUUUUCAGUUUCCCAACAUCUGUGUUUGCCCAAUACCAACGUGCACAAACUGCAAGGUCUACAAAUUAGCCCUUACAGAACCCUACCAGGCCUAUUGAUUAAGGACAAAAGGGAUGAAGCAUCCAUGCAGUUUAGACAACCAACAAGAGCCGACUGACAAUAAAACAGCUUAAGGUAAUUUUCAACUCCUUUUCAACCCCCUAACAUACGAGUCAACCCAAUAUUGACAUGCACAGGCUGCAAGGCCAACAAAUUAACCCUUACACAGCCUUGCCAAUCUUGUCGGUUAAAAACACAGGGAAUAAGCAUCCGUGAAAUCUAGAUUACAAACGAGAGCCAACCAACAAUAAAACGAACAAAAAAUCGUAAACUGUCUGGUGCAAUAUAGCUACGGACUCCGGCAACGCGAGACAUGGCUCCGCCACUAGCGCCCCAACCUCAAUCUGCAACGUUAGCCUCUUUUGCUCGUAAAGAUUUUGUGGAAAUGCCAUCGGUUGCUGUUGUUCAUUCGGGGGUAUAGGUGAGAAGCUGAUGACUAUAUUUGCAAAUUCCUAUACAUGUGCUAAGAGUGUCUGUCUUUUGAACUUUACGACCGUUCUUCUUUGCAAGGAUGAGCUUGUAGCAUGUAAACUUUAUAACGGAAUUCAUGAAUACCAGCCUCGACUAGAUUUUGCUAGUGACUCUGGUUUGAGUGAAGAUAUGUUAAGUUCUCUGGAGAGAACAAAGGGCUUGUGCGAGAAGUUGAGCUCUAUUCAUAUCUUAAGAAUAAUAGUGUUAGUACAAAUGCGCUGGUCACUAAGGAGAAAGCCAGUGGUAAUGAAUUUUUUUCUGCAUAACCUCUAUCAGAUUUCUCUUUAACUGAGACAUCAGUGCGAGGAUGUUGUGUUAAUACAGCAGAUCACAGCAUAUAUUGUUACUCUUCACAUCCCGGUACAUGAUAGAUAGUUGACAAUCGUGGUGCAAAUAAGCCAACCCCUAAGCGGCGGCGAUUACCAUUGUAAGCUAUUGUUUUCCAUGUAUUCAUAAACUAGAAACCUAAACUCAUCUCCACCGCAAAACAUCAACAUUUUUAAUGAUAUUGCCAUGUUGAAUUAGAUCUAAAAACCACUUUCGUCACGCGUUUAACAGCCAUGGUUUGUCCUAUUUUGAGAUUCACUUUAUAAACCCGACCAGACCCAUCUCUUGAGAUUCACUUUAUAUGGGCAUGGGUUGUGCUCCGAAUUUGGAGUGGGUUCUAAAAAACCCUAUAAGCAACUCGAUAAGCAGUAGAAACAUGCAGUUAUAAUAGCAUGGGGGAAGCGUUUGCAAGUUCCAGAUUACCCAAUAUACUCAGAUGAAGAAACAAUUUUUUUUCCUUCAACCUGUUUAUCAUUUUUCAUUCUUCUUCUCACAAGUUAACGCAUCAAAACUUUUCACUACGAAGGUUAACUUAGAGACGUGUUAAAAAGAUCAUUGGUGGGAACAAAGGUGAAGGGGCAGAGGAUUUUUUUCCAAAAAAACAGCCCAAGCUAUAAGGUCGUUUUCAACUCUUUUCAACCCUCGACAUGUGUGUUACUCCAAUCUUGAGUCUUGACAUACAAAACUGCAAGGCGGACAAAGGGAUGGAUAGCCUUUGGGACCACCAGUAUAUUAGGUAUAGACAAUGUCUCAUCUAACAAUGACAUAUGUAUUUGUCAAAAAUGUCUAGUUGAUACAUAAACUUGUAUUCCACCACUCGGAUUGGUACCUCUAAAGUACUAACACUGUUAGUUUAUGUUGAUGUGGCACUGAUGGCAAAUCCUAUAGCGACAUGUAGUAGCCUCUCAAUAUGACACGUGACGGACGUAAAUUUAAAAAAUUAAAAGUUAAUAUAAAUUAAUUUUAAAAAUAUAAUUUUUUGGACAAGUAUCAACUAGCUGCUUUUGGACAAGUUAGGGGGAAAACUACUUGUUAACCUUAAAAAAAGUAACGUUGUUAACAAAUUGAAGUUGGUAUGUGACAGAAUACAAAUUAAGGUUCCAACUAGGUGAAAAACAAAGUUCAGAUACCAACUGGGUACUUUUGGAUAAGUUCAGGAGAGGCAUAUUACAUAUUAAGCCUUAAAAAAUUAAUUUUGUUAGCAAAUUGAGGCAAUGUAUGUGUUGGAAUACAAAUCCAGGUAACAACUCGAUACAAAAAAAAAUUUAGAUGCUAACGAUGAACUUUUAGACAAAUUUAGAAAAUAAACUAUACAUAUUAACCCAUUUUUAAUAUAAAAGUUGUUGAUAUAUCCAGGGGCGGAUCCAGGUAGGGGCCCGACUCCCUUUAAAAUGAAAAUUUUUUAUUUAGGUCCUUUAUAAUUUAUAAAAUUUUAAAUUAGUAAUGAUAAAAUUACACUUUGGUCCCCGAAAUGAUAAAAAUUUAAUUUAAUCAUCUAAAAAUAAUAAAGAUAUAAGCCAUUAAAAUUAUGAAAUUGUAUUUUACUAUCAUAAAAAUAUACAAUUUAAUUUCAACCCCUAAAAUUUUUUUCUAACUUCACCUCUGACAAUACUAAAAUAAAUUUACCCCUAAAUAAUAUUUUUAUUAAAUUCGUCACUAAUGUAUCAUCAAUAAAUACGUCACUUCGUCAAAAAUCUAACUACGUUACGUAGGAUUGUUGCAUGUUUUUCACGAUAAAACCUUUACUUUAGUGUACAUAUUAAGAAGAAAAAAGUAGGACUAGACAUUUUUUAUUUUUAGCUGAAAAUGAAGAUGUUGAACCGCCCACAUAGCUUAGAUUGGUUAAGCACCGAAAUUACAAAACCAUAUUCGACAUGUUUUAUAACCGAGAAAAGGAAACUACCCUGUCCUAGAGAUUACUGGUCUAAAUUUUCAAACGCGGUACCGCCCUGAUUAUACUACACCUGAUUUAUGCUUCCAUCUAACUUAUUCAACGUGUUAUUAUUUUAUGUACACACUUGAUAUAUUUUUCACGACUCAAUUGAUCUAAAUUAUUGAACGUAUUACCAUUGUGCAUACACUUUUGACACAUUUCUUGCGAUUCAAGAGUCAGAUAUCUACCAUAGUAGUUGGUAUUGUAUUGGCACUAAUCAGUCAAAAUUUUAAUGUGUUUCAGUCAAGAGUAAAACAAAAAAUUUUAAAGACCAAAGCUAAAAAUAUUGUGUUAAAAUAUUUAUUUUUUAAAUGGACCAAAAUAUAAAAAUUUUCAUUUCAUUAAAGGUUUAAAAUACAUUAAAAAAUUAUUUUUUACUUAUUGGAAGGUCUUAUAUUACAAUUCAUUUGGCCUAUAUGCAUUUAAAUUAAAUUAUUUAACUUAAUUAAUAAUUUCAAAUUAUAUAAUUACAUAUAAAUAUAAUUAUAUGGAUAUAAUUAAGACAUAAUAUAUAAUUUAAGUUUUUAUCAAAACAAUAUGGAAUUUAUUAAUUAGACAUGUGAAAAAUAUAAUUUAUUGAAAAGCUAAAAGAUGAAUUAUAAAUAUAGGGAGAAGCAAAGCAUCAUUGAUAACUUUUAAAUUUUUUAACAUAGAAAUAAUGAAACAAUCUGUCAUAUUCAUAUUUAUAUCUUGAAAAUCUUAGAGUCAUUUCAGAUUUGAAGUUUAAACUUUUUCGAGUUGGGUUAUUUUGAACUCGAAUCAUUUUGAGUUUUAAUAUAUUGACGUUUUAAGUCAUUUUAGGUUUCCUGCUCAAGUUCGGAUUAAUUUCAGCUCAAGUUAUUAACUUCUUUUUAUAAUAAAAUCAAAUUAGAUUAUGGUUAAAUUCGGGUCAUUAAUCUUCAAGGUUUUUAGGGUUUGAAGCUUGAAUCUUUUUAAGUCGUGUUAAUUUAAAUUCGAAACAUUCGAGAUUUAAUUAGUUCAGACUCAAGUCAUUUUAAGUUAUUUGUUCGAGCUUUGUUUAAAUGUCCCUAAAUGUAAAUCAACAUCCAAUAUCCACAUGUUACGGUAUUAAGACACAAAUUGAACUUGGCUUUUGCAACAAUCUUCUUUGAGUUUCACAAAAAAGGUCCUCGUACUUGGUUGCCAUGAAACUAACAAAUAUAUAUGGAAAAUCAAACCAUUUGACCUUCGAUCUUAAUAUCGAUUUAGUAAGGAUAAAUUAUAAUUUGUUACGGAUGCUUAAUACCAAGAUGGGUUGAAUUGGUAUUUUAAAAUCUCUACAAACUUUUCUAAAAUAAAAUAAAGGAGAAAAGCUUGCAUAAAUGAUUUAUAGUGGUUUGACUCAAAUUGUCUACCUCCGUUAGCUUUCACACUAAAGAUUUUCCAAUUCACUCUAUUGAAUUAAUACCUUUUGAGGACAAGUUUGAAUAACAUUUGCAAUUCCUAUCUUUUUAUAAGACUAAGAUAGAACACUUCCCCUAGUUCUUAUAACUUAACUAAAACCUUCUAGCUUUUGUGGCUCAACUACAAACUCUUUGCUAUUCACUUAAGGUUUUAUACCUCAAAAACCUUAAGUAACUUUUUACAAUAAAGAGGAAAGAUGUAAACAAUAAAGACCUCUCAAAGGUACGCGUUUUUACAAGUGUUGGCUCUCUCUCAAAGAAUUAAAGUGAGAAUGGUAAAAAUAUCUAACAAUAAGCACCUUAGAGAUGUGUACAAGAGAAAAUGAAGAAUUGGAGGCUUUUCUCUUGAUUUUUAUACUUGGAUGUUUUUCUCUUGUCUCUUGGCGUGUCUUUGAAUUGUAUUUAUAUCACUGAAUGAGUUUGUGAAUGUUUAUAGCCAUUGGGAAAGAUUCAGAGUCGUUAAAUGUAGUUGCAGAGGCCUAUGUUCCAGUACGUAGCUUUUAGGUGUCGAUACCCUGCCUUAGAAAUAUGACCGUUAAAACCUUAGGUAAUGAAGCAAAGAGGCUGGGGUCCGAUAAGUUAAAACACAUUUAAAAACACUUUGGCAUGGACUAAAAAGACAUUAAGAUAAGUUAAAAAACACAUUUAAGAACAGCUUUUGAGUGCUUUGCAAAUCUUUGAAAUGCUUUGAAAAUAUUUGAACACUAAACGACUUAGUUAAUAAAAUUUAUCUUAAAUAUUGUCAUAUCAAAUACUUGAGAGAUCAAAUCUAACUUAAUAAUUUUUCAAUUUUGGGUCAGCCCUUCUCCCUUUUUCCUCAAUCACAUAGUAUUAAUUAAACCAUAACCAAAUUGACCAAAUAUACAAAUAUUAAAAAUUAAAUUUAUUAUUAUACAAAAUAAAAUUAUGUAGAUUUAAUAGACAACAUUUGUUUGACUUCCAAAAUUGAUAAAAGUUAAAUUUCUCUAAUUUUAUUGGAGUAACUAAUUUAUUUGAUAUUGGUAUUGGGAGGUGACGCGUCCUACCGUGUUUCCUUAAACAAGUUUGAUCCUUCUACGAAGCAAGCACGGCGCAUCACCACCGUCCACUGUAGCUUAUAUGUAUGUAUAUUUACUCUCAAAGAGCCGCAACUUUUAAUGCCUGAAUCUGAUUCAGUGGGCAUUUCAAUAAAAGCUAACUCAGUGGGACUUCCCAUUAACACAAAUCAGUAACUUCUUUUGUUUUGCGAUAUAAUGAUGAAGCCAACAUCACCUGUAGAACAUGUCUCCAACAGCGGUAGUAGUUCCAAGUACAAGGGUGUAAGAAAACGGAAAUGGGGGAAAUGGGUAUCGGAGAUCCGAUUACCCAACAGCCGUGAACGUAUUUGGUUAGGGUCUUAUGACUCGGCGGAGAAAGCAGCCAAGGCGUUUGAUGUGGCUCUUUAUUGUUUACGUGGACCUGAAGCUAACUUUAAUUUCCCUAAAAGCCCACCGGAGAUCGUGGGAGGAAGGUCACUUACCCCGCCGGAAAUUCGAGCGGUGGCUGCUAGGUUGGCUAACCAGGUCGACGACCAAGACGGAGCUGAUAAUAAUAAUGACAAUAAUGAUUCGAGUAAUGACAAUUACGUCAGGAAAGAACAGUGUACGUCGUCUUCGUCGGGAGCGGGCCCGUUACAGGCGGAGGGGAGUCAUGAAAUGGGGUGGUUGCCGUUUUUGAGCAUGGAUACUGAUAAUCAGUGGAUGUCCGAUUCUAGGUUAUACUCCCCGGUGAGUCGUAUCUUGUCGUAUGGUGGUGAUCAACUGUUUCCUCCUUCACCGCCGAUAAGUCCGCCGCCUAUUGACGACAACGCUGAUGAAUAUCAAUACUGCGGCGACGGCUUUUCACCAUCAUCGUCAUUGUGGGACUUUUAAGUUAAUCUUGAUACUCCGAGUCAAUAAAAAAUUACUUAAAACACCUUUUUUUUAAUAAAAUAACGAGUACGUGCUGAUUUCUUAAAGUAAAAUAGAAUUAUGGCCCGAAAUUUUAAUUAUUAAACGAAAUAGACUCGUUUUUUUGUAAAUGUGGCAAAAACUUAUUUUGAGAAAAACGCUUUGUUCAUUCUUUCAGAUUUAUCUACGUGUCUUUAAAACGGAAUUCGUCUUUUAUUUUUUUUUCUUUCAAAGCACUCGUAGUUUUUUCUUUUUAUCGAUUUUGUUCGAAUCCAUUUUUUCCUUUGAAAAAAGGGAAGAAGUAUUUUCUUCGAUCCCCUGAUUUUGGUUAGCCCCUCUUCUUUUGAAAAAUAAUUUUUAUUUCUAUGUUUUUUUCUUCUUCACUUUCCCCCACUUCUUCCAUUUCAAAAAUUCCUUUUAGUUUCUUAGCUAGAAUGGGUGACAGUAUUUUGCCUAAAUAAUAAACAUAGGUAAUAAAUAAUAGAAUACUAAAGAUUCAAGCCACAAAAUUUCUAAAUUAUGAUACAAUAUACUCAUUAGAUCGAUAAAAUAUGACUAGUUAACCAACCAACCAACCAACAAAACUACUUGUUACAAAUAACAUAUUGUUGUUGCACCGAAACGUAUAAAUGUUGAUUAAUCUGACCAACAUUGAACUUGGUAAAAUGAAAUGAUUGAAUAAUUGAAUAAUGAGAUUAUUCAGGAAUACACAUUGAAUGCUAAGAUUAUGCAUUGAAUUUAUGGUAGGAUGUCUAUGAUAAAAAAAGUCUUUGUGAUUGUUCCAAAAGAAAUGAAACAAAAGAUACGGAGCUAGAACAGUUAUUGUAUGAGGUUUAUCCAAAGCUAAAUGCAGAGGUACAUAGUAGAUUGACAUGAACAUCAUGAGUUGUCCUGCGAUAAACCCAGUUGUUGCUGAUACCUUCUUCUCAAUUCCUUCUUCUAUAACUCGAGCUCGUAGAAGGAAGAUAUAAGAGAGACUUAUGGAUAAUGUGGUCAGAAAUCCAUAAUAGAGUCUGACCAUAACAACUGAAUUGAUUAUCGUCAUGCAUAAGGAUAUUAGAUUCCCUGAUAUAAAAGACUUUAAAAUCAUCAUUAACCUCCCUUUUUUCAUUUGUAUUUCUAGAUUAUUAUAGGAUGAUUUUUGAACUUUCCAUAUACAUAUAUAGAAAUAGAGAAAGAUAGAGCCACUUUGAGGUUCCCUAUGAAAUGAGGUGCACAUUUGGUUUUUUUAUUUCAUGUUGUUUUAAUUUUUUUGUUAAUUUUUUUAAUUAUUGUUUUUAAUUAAUAAACAUGUUAUUUUCAAUUUAUCUUUUUAAUUAAUAUUUUUAUUUAUAUAAAUAAAAUAAUAAAAAUAUAUUUGACACUAAGCCAAUUUGUUAACAUACCACUGAGCCAUUUUUUAUUAACAUAAGGACACUGAGCCCUUAUUGCAGCCCGCGCCAUCGAAUCAGUGGCUUUAUUUUUCGUACCAACAAUUAAGAAUUAUUUUCCCUUACUUGCUGCAUCAAAAACUAAAUCACAAGCUUCUGAUAAAAAAACGAGUUGUUCUAAUCAGAUUUGUAAUAUGAAUACCCUUACGUUUUGCAGAGAUAUAUGGCGUCAUUCUAGGAUUCCAUUUCCUAGUACCAUGACCAAAAUGAACUCCUGCUUCCAACAUCUCUUCCAUGAUGUAAUACCCCGAAAAUUUUUUACAGUAAGAUAUUAUCUUUGAUAUAGUAAGGAAAUAAAGUGACAAAAAGGAGAAUUUUGAGUUAUGACAACAUUGAGAAGUGUAUUAUGACAUAUUAAUUAAAGAAAGGAAUAAAUUGCAAAAGUGAGAAAAUUUUUGUUAUCCAAGAGUAAAUAUUCAAAUUUUGAGGGGUUAAAGUGUAAAUAUGAAAAAGUUGAAGGACCAAAGUAUAAAUAUUUUAAGGGUGGAAUAAUCUAGAAACUAAGAAAAAUGGAUGAAUUGGGACCAAAUUGAAUACAUGAAGAAUUAUGAGGGACUAAAUUAUAAUUUUACUAAAUUAAGUGAUGACUCAAGGAUAAAAUUUUAAAAGAUCUAAAGGCCAAAAUGGUCAAUUAGAAGAAAGAGAAAUCUAGAAAAUAAUGAUGAUGUUGGAGAUAUUUUAGAUUAAAUAAAUAAAUAUUAGUUUAUUAAUAUUUUAAUUUGAUUUUUAAAUGACAUUUUAUCAUUUUAUUAUUAUUUUAUUUAGUACAUAUAUAUGGAAGAAAAGAUGAAGAAUCAUCUUCCUUUCCCAUGCAUUUCACGUUAGAAGAGAAGAGAAGAAAGAAAGUUUUACUUUCUUUACAAUUUGGUCCUUCCACCAAAAAUUUACCAUUUUCACCUAGAAAUCAAAAGAAUUUCCAUAGCUACCAAGAGAGAAAAAUGUUAAGGAGACUAUAGGGAGCUAGAAUAUCAAGUUAGAUUCAAGAAAUAGAAGCUGGGGGAGAGAGAAAAUCAAGUUAAAGAUUGAAAUCAAUAGCACAAGGAAAGAACAUCAAGAUUUCAAUAUACUUUUGAGUUUGAUAUUAUUGAAAAAGUAGGAAACUAAUGUUAAUGUAGAGUUUCAUUAUAUAAGGUUCUAUAUUCUUGUUAUGUUAGUAAAGGGAAAUAAGAGAAAGUGAUGGAAAGUAUUGAAGAGAAAGGAAAGGAAGGUGUUAUAAAUUUAGUUAUCAACAUUUUAUACUAAAACAGUUUUGGACAGUAGCAGUAUGUUAACUUUGAAAAAUCACCAUAAAUCGUGGAAAUUGAAUUAUAGGAUUAAAAAAAUAUGGAAUUAAAUAUUAUUGAGUCUAGUUUCUCAUAGAAUAAACAGUGUAAGUAAUGAAAUUGUAAAUCAUGAGAUAUAAUGAAUUUUGUGAGACAAGGUCAGAUUGAAUUCGGGUUCCCAUGUUCUGACUUGGAAAAAUCAUUAAAAAUUGUAUAAAAAUAAUUAUGGGUUAUAAUUUAUAUAUUUAAAAUCCCUAAUGAGUCUAUUUCAAUAGAAACAAACGGGGACAUCAUCUGAAUUCUAUAAAAAUAGAUAAUUAAUUUUUAGUGAAGAGGGGUCGGAACUGUCGAACAGUGAAACAGAGGAAACUUUAAAGAAUAAACUGUACUUAUUGGAUGAACCAAAAAUUUUGAAAAUUUUAUGGUAAAAACAUAUUUGAGUCUAGUUUCAGGAAAAAUUAACGGAUAUUAAUUUUGAGCUCUGUAGCUUGAGAUAUAAAUAAAUUAGUGACUCUGACUCAGACAAACAGCUUGAAUUUACAUACAGGAAAAUAGUGAUAGUAUGAAUAAUGUUGUUUAAAUGUGUUAUACACAUUAAAGAUGUGGAAUGGAGAGGGGGAGUAGGAAAAUUGGGAAAUGUAUGAAUGAUUUGUGUAUAAUUGGUCAUAUGUUUGAUUAUAAUUGAUAAACGAUGAAAUAAAAAUGAUGCUUAUAUUUAUUCAUUAUUGGUCAUGGUCUAAGCUCAUGUGUGAAAAUAAAGUUUCAUAGUAUAUGUGUAUGGUAUAUUCAGUAUAUGAUUUGGCAUGAAGUAAUGUCAUGAGUGGUUUAUGAAUUAACACAUGUUGGUAAGUGUGAUACAUGAAUAAAUGUUGUGCUCAUCCAUGCUUAUAAUGUUUAUGCUAUAUGUGUAUUUGGCUAACAUAUUUGGUGUACAUGUUUAGGGUUUGGCCAAGUAGUGGUUGGAUUAUGCCAUGUUAAAUUUAUAAGUUAUGCAUUGAAAUGGUAAGUGCCUAAUUGGAAAUAUAUUUGUGAUCAUGAAAAGGGUGGUAAGGUUUAAAUUAUGUAAUCUCUAGUGAAACGGUUUAUCAUGUGGUUAGUUCCAAAAAGAGUUAUGUUUAAAUACACUAGCUUGCGACUAUGGUUGAAUGAUAUGUUUAUAUCUUGUGUGAUGUGCAUAGGAAACGUGUGUGGAAAGAUAAUGAAAUACUAAGUUCAUAUGGCUGAAAUUUAAUGAUUAAAUGUUAAUUUCAUGAAUGAUAUAGUGUAUGAUGUAUAUAUUUGUUGAUGAAUUGAGAAUAAAAUAACAAUACGAAAACCGAAUAAAUGAUUAAAUUGAGCAGAACGUCGGAUUUGAGUAUUUCUGAUCAGUGACAAGUGAUAAGUGGUAGCUUUAGCUACACUUAUCUGAUCAGUGACAAGUGACAAGUGAUAAAUGUGAUCCGUGUAAGACCAUGGCAGGGCUAUGGCUUUAAAAAGUGCUAAGUGAUCAUACGCAAGACCAUAGUUAUACUAUGGCAAAGUGGAAGUGAAGUACUCAAUUUUCCGUAGCCGUUCCCUAAUUUGAUUAAGGAUGAUAAGUGAAAAAUUGGCCCAAAAGAAUUAUAAUAAAUGGAUAAGUGGUAGUGAAUUUAUAUCAGGAUGAUGAGUUGAAUUGAUGUUGUUAUAUAAGCUAAAGUAAUAUUUUCAUUGCAAAAAUUGAGAAUUUCAUAAAUGUGUUAAUGAAUGGUAUAAUCAAUAAACGUUGAGUUAAAUGAUAAAUACGUAUUAGUAUUGAACUUAAUGAUUUGAAUUGUGAACAUGAGAAAUUUAUGAAUUGAAUGAAAUGGAAAUGAAGCAUUGAAUUAUUAAGACUUGUGAAUUGCAUGAAUAUGUAUCGGGUCUCGUAGGUCUUAUUUAUUAUGAAUAUAAUAUUUUGAGGAUAUAUUAUGAAAAAUUAUAAAAGCAUGUUAAUAAUUUGAAAGUUUUAAUUUAGAUGAAGUUUUAUAACUCUGUUAAAUACGUUUACAAGUGUAUGUGUUCUGGUAAUGCCUCGUACCCUAUUCUGGUGUCGAAUGCGGGUAAGGGGUGUUAUACAUGAAGUAUUAAAAUAAUGAUUCUUUGUAGGUGAGAUUUUGACUCAUAUUUGAAAGACAAUUUAUUUCAAAAAAUUAAAGGGUGAGCUCAAGGGAUAAAAAUAAAUUUUUUAAAGAUAUUUUUCUUUUUGAAAAUUUUUAGAAUUAAAAUGAAAUUAACAAAUUUUUUAAAGAAUAUGAACUAAAAUGACAAAUUUUAUAAACAUUGAGCACUAAAAUAUUUUGAAUUUUUUUAUAUAUAAGAUCAAAUUGAUAGAAUGUGUAAACAUUGGAAGCUAAAUUUGAUAUUAGACCGACAAAUUAGUCCACGCCAGUUUUUUUUGUCACUUAUCUAACGACAACUAAUGGGACAGUGAUUAAAAUAUUUAAUUUUGAAAAGUUUAUUGACUAAAUUGAAAAAAAAAUAGUUGAGUGACCAAAUAGAACCAAAAGCAUAGUUUGGUGACUAUUUUUGAAAUUUACCCAAAAGAAAAUCCAAAACCAAUAGGUUUGGGCUAGAAGUGAAUAUGAUGUCAGCCAUAACAUAGGAUUUGAGCUUUGUUUCAAUGGGUUUUAGCCCAUUCAUUAGUGUUUUAUGAACAUUUGCAUUUAAUUGUCAACCAAAAAAAAAAAAAAAAUAGCAACUAUACUCUUACAAAUACUACGAAAAUAUUUUGCUUGUAUUAUUUUAGGCUUGCAUUCGUUUGGUUUUCGAUUUUUCUAUAUUAAAUUUGAUUUUUUUUUAGGUUUUGAGUUUAUUUUUACAAAAUAAAAUUUAUUUUAUAAUAUGAACGAUUAUUAUAAGUUCAUUUAUAUAUUUUUAAAAUUUGUAAAUAAUAAUUUUUAUUAGAAUUUUAAACAUAAAUAACUUAAUUGUUUUAAUAUUUACAUUAUAAUAUUAUAUUUUUAAUUAUCAUAAGAUAUAAAUUAUAUAAUAUAAAAAAAAGAAAGAAAACUAACAUAUUAUAAAAUUGGGUUCGAACCUUGAAUAUUAGAGUUCAAGCCCACCUCAUAUUUUAAACGAGUUUAACUUUUUUACCCAAGCCCACUUUUAGGCAUGUCUUUUUGGGAUAAAUCUCAAACUUAUAUAUAAAUUUUGAUUCAAUGUGCAAUUUGGUACAUAAACUUUGGUUUGGUGCAAUUAUGUGCAUGAAAUUUUGACUGUGAUUCAAAAUUAUUUGUGUAUGUAAUAUAUAAACAUAAAAUGAUGUUAUAUCAAUAAUUGUGUUAAUAAUUUGUGAGAAUUGAAUUAAAUCAAAAUUCUGCUUAUAAAAUUACAUAAAAUCAAAGUUGAUAUAUAAUUUUGAGAUCUAUCUCUCUCAAAUAUCAAACAUAAAAUACAAUUCAAUUUCAAAUAUAUGAAAAAAGGUCAACAAUGCUAUUAUACAUAUAUAUUUGCACCGUGCUAGGGCUACCUAUCACCUUUUUAUAAUGUUAUAUACAAUUGGAACCCAAGAGGUCAACUAUAAAAUGUGACACCAAAGUAUGUCCAACAAAAAUGAGUUUAAUCCAUCACCCUCUCCACUUUGCUCCCCCAUUUUAUUUGUUUCUUUUAAAUUAAGCAAUAAUUGAAAGGCAAAUAUAGCAUAUAGAAAGAGAGAAAUAAGGGUUUUGAUGGUCUCCCAUGUGAAUUUUAAUGUGAUAAGUUGAUUAAUAUUAAAUAUUUUUAUAUCUAAAAUUUCAUCGACACUUAAAUUUGUUAAUAUUAAUUAAAGAUUUAGCUCCAAUUUAUUUGGAUUUGGAUUACUUACUUGGCCAAACAAGUUAAGUUGCUUUUACCAUACACCAAAUUGCCCUAUUAGACCAUUAUUGUCAAUUGAAAACAUUUAUUUUAUUGGUACAUUCACAUAAUUAUUUAAAAAUAAUAAUAAUUACUAAAUUAAAAAUUUAAAUAUAAAAACAUCAAAUGAUCCCAAACUCAUUAUUUGUCAGCUACAAUCUAUUUUAUAUAUAAAAAAAUUAUAUUACAAAUCAAUAAUGAAUCAAACUAAAGUUAAAUAAUGUUAUGCACUUUAAUUAUUUGAUUAAACGAAUAAAUUAAUGGAUCAACUUUUCGGUUAAAACAAAAAAUUUUAAUUCGAUCGAUUCUGAAUACACCAUGUAUAGUGGGUAAGAUAAUCUAGAUUAUAUUCUAUAUAUAUUCAAACCAUUGUCGCCAGUUGCAUGGUUGGGGGGAGGGGGCUCAUCUCAACUCUGAGUGGAAUCGUAUACCCUUGGCUGGUGGCUGGUGGCUGCUAGUGGUUGCACUGAUGAAUUCAAUGAAAUCACAAGCCCCAUUUUUAAAGAAAAAAAAAAGAUCAAACUUUUGAAAGCACGAGAAAUUUACUGUAAAAAAAAAAAAGUUGACCCUGAAAAUAAUGUCCCCUGCUAUGUAUAGUUGGCAUGGCUUUACCUUCUUCUUUUUUUCUUUUUUUUUUCCCUUCAUCUGCAAGAUUUAAAAAUGGUUCCUUUCAUUCCAUAUUCAAAAAAACACUCAAAUAAAGCAAAAGAAAAAACACCCAAAGUUCCUCUUUGUGCUCUGCAGCUAUGGGCACAGAAUUCACCUUUACCUUUUGUUUUUCAAGAGAAAAAGAUAAUAAAAAAAAAUCCUCGUUUUGUCUAAAAAUCCGUACUUUCUCUGGGUUUCUUUUAUAAUCAUUUUUCCUCGUAUUGUUUUGCAGUAAUGUUUCAAGCUUUGUCUGAAAAAAACAUGGCCAUGGGUGGUCUUAAAAGAGUAGAAACAAUAAACAGCAAAGGUUGUUCAAGGUUAUUUGUUGGGUUCUCAUCUUCAAUCCCAUCAUUUAGAACCUUCCAAUCGUUUGAUCUUAUGUCCCCUUCUCCUACCACCUCUCAUGGCUCUGAAUUGUCAACAAUGGUUCGAUCCCUUGGUCCACUUUCCGGUCUGGUUAUUUGUGUAACCGGUUUAUCUAAAGGUUGGUAAUCUUGUCUUCAACAGUUUAUGCAUGUAUGUAUGUAUAUGUUUUAUGGUACCAAGUUAGGACAACGGUUCACUCGAGAGGUGGAGUGUAGUAAGAGGUGUUGCAUUGCUGAGAGAGAUCCUUACUCGACCUUGGGGAUCUUAUAAAAAAGGCCGUCGGUCAUUCUAGUCUACUUAUAUUUCGUCUUUUUUAAGUAUAGAUUGUUAAGUUAGAAAAACCGAUAAAUGUGGUGUAAGGAUGGCAGACAUCCUACUUCUGCUAAAGCACUACAAGAAAUCUGGUGAUUGACAUCCGAAAGGUAUAAAGUCGUAGGAGGUGUUACGAAUGCUUAGAAGGAAGAAAGAUAAUUGAGAGAGAGGGAGAUUCCUUGUUCUCGGACUUUGAGAAUCUAAUAAAGAGUGUUGAUCUUUUUUAAGUAUGGGUUGUCAUAUUAGUACAAUGAUAAAUGCUGUAUACGGAUAACAAACAUCCUCUAACUCACAUAAGGUUAUCUUUUUAAGUAUGGAUUGUCAUAUUAAGACAACGGUAAAUGCUGUAUACGGAUGACAGACAUCCACUAACUCAUAGAGGAUUGGUUGGUGGGUUGCAAAGUGAUCUUGCUAGCUCGCAUAAGAUUGAUAGGUCAUGAGGUAAUCUUGCGAAGUGUGGGUAUUACAAUGUCAGACAUUUAUUCUUUGAUCAUGAAAUUCAUGUUAUUUUUUUGUUUGUUUUUCAGAAGCAAAGAAACAAGUUAUGGAAGCAACAGAGAGAUUAGGGGGACAAUACAGUACUAGCUUACAUCCUCAAUGUACACAUUUGGUGGUUCAAAUAUCCUUUUCUAAGUAAAAGUGACGUGGAGGUUAAUUUAUUAAGAGCGAGCUUGUAUUUUAUCUUAUUUAUUUAAAAAAUAGAUAAAUUAAUUUUUAUGCGUUAAAUCAAAAAGUAAAUUACGCUUUUUGUUAAAAAUUUCAUCAAUUUAUACUAGAUAGUGAUAUGUGGCAUGCCACGUGUACAUGUUGACAUAUAAUGACCAAUUUUUAAUAGUAGAAAUGGAUGAAAUUCUUAACAAAAGGAUUAUUUUGCUCUUUGAUUUAACGUAUCGGAAUUAAUUUACCUAUUUUUUGGAGCAAUUAACUCUUAGUACAGACCUCCAUGAUACUUUUUACCUCUUUUUGUAUUGUUUUUUUAGUUUAAUAUGGUUUCAUGUUCUUUCUAUUGUUUUAUUAUAUGGUGGCAAUGCAAGUGUUUUAUGUCAUACCUUAAUUUUUGGUUAACAGCAUUAGUGGAAGUAAGUUCGAGCAUGUUUUAAAACACAGAUCGAGAAACGGUUUGUUCGUUGUUACGAUUGGGUGGUUCGUCGAUAGUGUUAAGAGCAACAGUAAGAUCAAGCUGUGCUCUAAAACAUGUUCUUUUUUUGAGCUCGGUACAAUGUACAAGGUCAAUGUUUUUUUUUUUUUUUUUUUGCAGUAAGGUUAAGUGAAUCAGUGUAUACCGUGAAGGGUAUCGGAGAAUGUAGCCCGCGUGUAUAUGAGUUGAACCUGCACGUCGGGUCAACGGAUAGUUCGUGUCUUCCUUCCGGUUUUCAUGAAACCAAGAAAAUCAAGACGAUAAAGAAACUACAACUACGAUCUUCUGAUGGAAUCUCUGAUAAAUACAUGGACUCGACACUAUCGGGUCAUACUCUGUACAUUGAUUCUAAUAUUUCGGGUGAACUAUGGAAUAAGGUAAUAUUCGAUAUGUUCUAUACGGUGUAAGUUGAUAAACUGGGGUCACCAUUUUUGUGUAUGUUGCUUGAUAGGUUCUCGAGGUCGUGUCUAAAGAAGGGGCUGCAACCAUAGAUCGAUGGUUUGUUGGUUGCGGUGUGAGUCUCAUAGUGUGCGAAGAGAGUUCUGUCCAUCAAUAUAUCGGACACUCGAGCAACGUUGUAACGGUGAGUUAGAUUAUGCAUAACACAUAAGGAUGAUCAAUGAUUCAUAAUGCUGGAACUGAUUUUAUAUUUAAUGUCUCAAGCCAUUGUGGGUACUGAAAACAGCUAAGGAUAGGAACCUGCUGAGGCUUGUUCGUGUGUCGGUCGAUUUGGCUAGGCAGAUUGGGACAGUGCUCGAAACUUCCCGGAAUGACAACACGGCUAAGUUCAUGCAAAAUACCGAGAGCUUGAAAAGGAAUGCAACUCAUGAAGAGAGGCAACAGAUUGUACAUUUAGCUAAAACCAGGAUUCAGAAUCGUCGCAAUUGUCAUAUGCAGGUAAGUGGUUAAUCAUGUUUGGCAGCUCAUUAUUACAUGUGUCACGGGCUUAGAACUUUAACCUAGCAAAACUGGACAUGGACCAUGACACACGGUAUUUAUCUAGCGUAUCUUUGAAAUUCUGUUUCACUUUCAGACAUGUCAAACUCCGAUCCAUCCAAUAAGCCCGAGCACUCUUCUAGAUUCAAUUUGUUGGUCGAUAUCCAAACCAACUUCAAGUGCUCGUAUUUACACUGAAUCUUUUAGUGGUGACGAGGAUAGUGAUCAUCGAUCCAUAUUCUUUGAUGCAAACGGUGAUGGCAAGAAUUCAGGGGGCUCGUUUAUGGACUUAACCCGGUUGCUUACAGAAAGGUGAUUGAUUUAUCAUAUAAAUUUUGUUCCUUUUCGUGUUAUACGAGUUAUGUAUUAUCUCACUCUUACCUAUUUUCUGCAACUCAUUUGCAGUGAGAAAAAUGAGUUGAUACUAGAAAACCAGUUUCUUACCAUACUAUUUCUGGUCGAUCGAUUUUCGGAGAUGGGGCCUUCUUCGAGGACAUAUUUCAGCCAUAAUGGCUUUACAUGCUUGCAGGUUCUGGAUUAUAUCUACGAGUUUUAUCAGGUACAUAUUCAAAACUGCAUUUGACUCUGGCAAUGCUCCAACGAUCCUCGGGCAAUCCCUGGCUUUCCCGAAUUGUUACGUGUUUGGGUCAGGCUGCAAUCAAUCUUUACCCAAAUGAUCAUUUUGUUUUUUUGUAGGAAAACAUGUCAGCUCACGAAAUUGAGUCUGCUAUUCACACGGAUUCGAGGCAUGCUGACCGGCUUCGAGCGGCAUACUCGAGCAAAGAGACAGUUGAAUGUGGAUAUGUGAUUUUCAAACGAAUUGAUUUCUUAGGAAGCCGUAAAAGCUUCGAAAUGUUGAAACGUGUUAGUUGUGAUAAUAACAGUAUUGUAUACGAGCUCUUACUUAGAGCCUAAAACGUCUUACGUUCAGAUUCGAUAUUUGGAUAAUUCCAGGUCUAGAUCGUGUUCUAAGAUCAAAUCCUACUCGAUGACACCACUGUCAGUCAAUUCUAUUAGUUACAUCAGAGAAUUAACAACCUAGGAAACGAAUUUAACAAAGUAAAAACUAUGUACCUCGGCGAUGUCAAGCCCAUGGCUUCAGUAUAUUACAACUCGAAGUAGCCCUGUCUGUGGUACAGUAAACUCAAGGCACUCUUCUUCAAGGAGGUAGCGUUGUACAGCACCUGCAAGUCUUGCCGGUGUACGAGAACCCCUAGUAUGGUGGCCAGUUCCAACGCAUAUGUAAACCUGCAAAUGUUGAUCCGCUGCCCGUGCUGUGCUCCUUAGAACAGAUAAUUCAUGAUUAAGCAGAUGAAUGGCUUCGCUAACAUGCAAUCCAUGCAGGUCUAUCAUGUGUUCUUUCCCUCGCACAUUCUCUGGAGAAACCGAAACCUGAUUCCUAUAUUAUCAUAUAGGAUGAACAGUCAAAAAGAACAAACUAGUUUUAGGCCUACCAAGAACUGAUCAAAGACACCAUGUUAAGGGACCAAGUGCAACGGGAAAGAAAUGACAAACCUUUGGCGAUAGAUAGAUUCUCGAGCUUUUCUGUGAGCUGCACAACUGCACAAACUACAUUGCUUUGCUAGAGCCUUAUUGCCGACGAGAAAUGCUCGGCGUGCCUAUUUCAGUUAACCGUAUGGAUAAGUUGAGCAGGUGAACAACUCAUUCCAUCGCAUGCUAACAAAACGUCAAAUCUAUGAAUGUGUUAGUUUAAAUACGUGCAACAAUUUUAUAACAAGAUACCUGUUUGAAACAUGCAUUAUCUAAUCGGGCAUGGUCUCGAGCUUCUUCCCGCAGUUCCGAGUACAAAUUAGCUGCCAGUUCAAUACUGUUAAUGCAAAUAAAUAAAGCUAUGAAAAUGAAUGAACUUUAUUUAGUGCGGAAUAUUACCCACUGCAUCUCCGGUUGCACGAGCUAAACCACGAGUCUGUACUCUAUCAGCAGAAGCACCUCUUGUGGUUGCAGCAAUGUAGGUAUGAGCCGACCCGUGAGAACUUCUACUUGACCCAAUAGUCGAAUCAGAAGAACCGUUCAUCUCAAACUGAGUAAGCAUCUCAAUUGUCCGAUUUAAAUCACAACUAUUCGCAAAAUAAGCCUCCGCAAGGCUUUCGGUAGCAAAACCAGGGAACUGAGCAACCAAAAAAUCCACAGGAUUCAUUUCAGUACCAUUACCAUCCAUAAUUUCAUGCUCACGUAACAUAUUGGUCACGAGUCCAUGUCUCGAAUUUCUGUUAUAUAGGUGACCCUGCCUCCCAUUGCCAAGUAGCUGAUCACUUUUAACAAGUUGCUCGUCCAAUGUUUCAGCUGGUAAAUGUAAAAAACUUGCCAACGUAGGAUCCGAUCCGUAGGAUGAAACACGAUAUCUCAAAUUUUCAGCUAUGUUAUUACCAUUACUGUAGGGAUUCCGUAAUUCCUGCCGAUCACUGUACACAUAUUCACCAUCUGCAAAAGAAACAAACCUUGAAACUUUGCUACCAUCACGCAAGGAUAAACCGGCUAAAGAGAGGUUCCCGGACCCGAUUCCUUGAGAAUCCUCCUCAUUAAUAAAUUUAAAGUCCGAGGUAAUGUCGUUAGGGAGCUGGGACCGCCAGAACCGAUGAGCCUCUUCGUUCGAUUUAUUAGAGAUGGAAGACCUUGACCUAUCAAGCACCGGUUUCCCUAGGGUCCCAGAAGCAGCAAACCUUGUUGUUCCGUCACCUGCACUAGUGCUUCCCGAUGACGACGGUGAUCUAAGAGAAAAUGGAACAAACUCCGCUGCAUUAGGAUUCAAAGUCGUUACCUUGCCAGGGCCAUAUUGUUUCGCAUCACUAAUUCGGUUUCCUUUCUCAGAGAAGUUCAUUCUUUCCUUAAAUCGAAACAUAAAAAAGGAUCUACAUAGCAAACUGGUGCAGAGGAUACGCCGCCAACAUCGAGUUCCAAUAAACACUAAACGAAACCUGCAAACACCGUCCAACAUAUCACAUUAAUAAAUGAAAUAUGACCUUUCCCUAAUCUGGAAUACGAUUAAUACACUAAAGUCAGACCAAACCUCAAACAACAAUAAUCAUUUCCAUGAAACUACUAAUAAAAUCGAACCAUAUUCGACUCGUAUGAGCAGUUCGAUAAUAUUAUGAUUAAUUAAACAACUACAGCUAAUCAGUUCUAUGAACAAUGUCUAAAUAAGCUUAAUUUCAAGAUUAUGAACCAAAUAACAAGAUUUUCACCAAACCAUGCCAAGAUACAGCUGAAAACACUAAAAUUCACUUAACAACAGGACUUAAUUCAAUUGAAAACCCUAGUUAUAAAAAAAUUUGAAAAUUCCAAAAAUAAACAUAAUCAAGCACUGUACUUCAACAAAAUAAACUAGAACCAAAAGCAAAGCAGAUAUAAAAACUUAUGCUCUUCUUGCAUUGGACAAGUAGCUAAUUCUAAGAAAAUUCAACUCAAGUCAGCCGCCCCCCUUCCCCCCCCCCCCCCCAAAAAAAAAAAAAGGAAAUUUGAGAAAUGAAAGGAGAGAUUUAUACCCUUGCGAAACAAAUAGAAAGGAUCCGUUAGCUUAAAGAGAUAAAAUGAGAAUAUAAACAGUAAAAAUAUAAUCUUUGGAAGAUAUUUUAAUCCUUUUGGGGGAUUUGAGCUUUUGGGUUUUCUUCAUCUUUAGCCUAAAGUAUAUAUUAUUUUAGCUGUUUUGCUUCACAGCACAGAUAUUUUUUUUUUCUGAAAUUUACUUUACCAAUUUUUUAAUUUUUUAAUUAUACCUAUUAAUUUUUUGUCUCAAUUUUUUAUUUUUAUUAAUUUGGAGAGACUCUAGACGAUGAAUCCAGUCCAGUUCCAGCUAGACCUGUCCAUGGGCCGGGUGGUCCGGUCCGGCCUGACGGCCUGCCCAAAAUAUGGGAGGGUUCGGGUAAAAAUAUAGGCCUGAAAUAUAGGCUUGGGUAAAAAACGAGGCCCAUUUAAAAAAGGGCUGGGCUUCGGGCACCACUUUUUUGGCCCAGGCCCGGCUCGGCCCGAAUAUAAUAAAUAUAUUUUUUUAUUUUUUAAUUUUAAAAUACUUUUUAAAUAUUUUUUUAUUUUUUUAUUUUUAAAAUAAUUUUUUAAUGUUUAUUAAAAAUAGACCGAGCUGGGCUCGAGCUUGUGAUCUUUUUCCCGGGCUGGGCCGGGCCUAGGAGGCGGGCUGAAAAUUUUUUCCGAGCCCGGCCCAUGGACAGUUCUAGUUCCAGCAACAUUAUAAAUUUGAGUUUGAUACUAAUUAAAAUGAAAAACAUAAGAAAAUUGCAUUAAAAGUCCACAAAUUAUGACUCACAUUUUACAAUGACCUCUAAACUCUAAAACUUUCUAAUUACAUUCUAAUUAAAAUUUUCUAUUUUAUAUAUAAUGUAAUCUCAUAUUUAAAUUAAAUAUAUUAUAUUAUAGGAUAAAUACUUAUUUAUAUUAAGAAAUUUAAUAGAAAGAAAAAAUAAGAUGGUAGUAAAAACAUAUAUUUAAUUUAUAUUAAAAUAUAGGAAUUAAUUACAUAUUAUAACCUCAAACACGAUGUUAAUAAUUGAAUUUAAAUUUUGAAAUCUAAAAAAUAUAAGAAUUUAUGGGAUAUUAUAACUAAAAUUUAAUUUAAUUUUUAUGGUUGAUUUUAAACCUAAUCAUUUAAUUUGAAUUAAAUGUUAAUUAAAAUUAAAAACAAAUCUUUUAUCAAAUAAAUUGAAGUGUUAAAAUAGUCAAAUUCAACCAAUGAAAAUCAUCGAGGACUAAAGAUAGGUUCAGUUUUUUUUUAGGAACAAAAAAAAAAUAAGAAGCAAAUCCAAUAAUAAAACACACAAUUUGAAAGAAAAAAACUUGAAAAAUGGCAAAAAAAGCUGAACCAUGAAUCUAAAAUAUACCCAAUAUUUAGUAAAAAUUAAUGUUUUUGGCCAAAAAAAAAGCCUAAAUUUAACAUACAAACCCUCCCCACCAUUACUAAAUUUAACAAUUGUAAUUCCCUAUAACUAGUCUCCCCCUUCAUUCAUUUUUUUCAUUCAUCCACACCCAAAACUAAGAAAUAAAAAAAUAAAAAUGAGUAAAAACCCAGAGCUCCAAUGCCUUGGAGUUCUUAAAAAGACUUGGUUUUUAUAGAUUUUGAAUAUUAUUGAAAAUCAUAGUCUGGGUUUUUUUUGGGGGGGGGGGCUUUUAAAAAAUGGGGACAAAAACAUUAUUUGCAGCUGUUCUUAUUACAUGGUUGGCUGCUUUUCAAUGUUGUAAUGGACAUAAUUUUAAUUACAAAGAAGCCCUUACGAAAUCCCUAAUGUUCUUAGAAGCACAAAGAUCGGGUAAACUCCCUGCUGAUAAUAGAAUACAUUGGAGAGGAGAUUCUGCUCUCGAUGAUGGAAAAGAAGCAAAUGUAAAUCAUAUGUCUCAGUUUUAUUUGUAGACUCUUUCGAGAGAAAUCUUUUGUAUGCAUAUUAAUUUGAUGAAAUAAUUCGCAGGUAGACCUUGUUGGAGGAUAUUACGAUGCCGGCGAUAACGUGAAAUACGGGAUGCCGAUGGCGUUUACGAUCACUACCUUGGCUUGGUCCGCCAUUGCUUACGAAAAGGAACUCAAAGCUGCAGGAGAAAUGGGAAACGUUCAUUCGGCAAUUCGUUGGGGUACUGAUUAUUUCCUCAAAUGUGGCAAAAAACGUGGCAUCUUCUAUGUUCAGGUAGAUGAAUAUAUAUUGAAUCUAUAUUUGUAUUAAGAGUAGAAUGCAUUUUUACUCCCUUUUAUUCUAAAAUUGGUAAAAUAGAUUAAAGAGUAUAUUGAUUUUUCAUCAAUCACACUAGUUUUUAACAAUAAAAAUAGAUGAUAUUUUUAACAAAAAGAAUAAUUUGCUCUUUAAUCUAAUGUACAAUACUAAUUAGUAGGGGAGCAAAAUAUAAUCCGACUCGAAGUAUAAGGGCCUCCAUGAUAAUUUUACUUUAUAUAUAUGGAGGCCCUUGUACUAGAAAUCAGAUUGCAUUUUGCCCCAUUUACUCAAAAUAUGAGCAAAAAUAGAUGCAAUUUUUAAUAAACGGACUAGUUUGCUCAUUGAUUUAACAUUUAGGGACUAAUUUAUUUAUUUUUUGUGUAGAAAAAGUAAAAUAUAAUUCAACUCUUAAUACAAGAGUCUCCAUGAUAGUUUUACGGUGUGUAUAUAUAUAUGCAUGUAUAUGUAUAUGUAUAUGUAUAUGUUGUUAUUGCAAGUAUUUAAUGAUGUUGGGAUUUUGUUUGUGGGGAAAAGGUUGGGGAUCCUGUAGAAGAUCAUAAAUGUUGGGUGAGACCAGAAACUAUGAAGACACCGAGGACUGUGUUGCAAAUUAAUGAGACCGAACCUGGGACAGAGAUUGCAGCUGAAACUUCAGCUGCAAUGGCUGCUUCAUCUAUUGUCUUUAGAUAUGUCGAUCCUCCUUAUGCACGUAGACUUCUUAACAAAGCCAAAUCGGUAUGCAUAUACAUAUACAUAUAUGUACGUAUGCAUGUAUGAAAUGGACGUUAAAUUUAUUUAUUCUGGGGUUAUUUUCCUUUUUGUAGCUUUUCUACUUUGGUAAGAAGAACAAAGGAACUUUCGAUGGAGAAUGCCCCUUCUAUUGCUCUUUUUCCGGCUAUAAUGUAAUCUCUCUCUCUCUCUCUCUUCUCCCUCUUUGUAUGUAUAUAUAUAUGUCUAUAUAUGUAUUUUCAGGGGUAUCGUUGGUAAAAGUAUCUUGGAGGCCCCUAUAUUAAGAAUCAGAUUACAUUUGACUCUCUUUGCUUCAAAUUAGUUCAUGUGUAUUAGGUCAAAAAGUAAAUUAACUAUUUUAUUAAAAACUUCAUCCAUUUUUAUUGUUAAAAAUUAGUCUACGUACAUCAAUAUGGCGUACACGUGGUGUCUAAUUAUCCCAUCAGCCACACUAAUUUUUAACAAUAUAAAUGGAUAAAUUAUUAAUAGAAGGAUUGAUUUGCUCUUUGGUUUAAUGUAUAGGUAUUAAUUUGCCCAUUUUUUAGUAGAGGAGUAAAAUGUAAUCAAACUCCUAGGGCUCUCCAUAAUACUUUUAUCGAGUAAAGUUAGGGAGUCAAUAUUAAGGGCCAAAUUAAACUUUUAAAAGCUUGAGGUCCAAAGACUAAAAAAAUGUUUAAAUUGAAUAACUUUUAAUUGAAAGGGACUAAAAUACCUAUUGUACCAGUUAGCUAAGGGACCAAGAUCACUCCCUACCCCUUUCUUCUUAGGGACAAAAAUAGCUAUAUAUAUUGGUUUUAGUAUGAAAUGUUGACAAAUAUGUAAAUUGUUGUAGGAUGAAUUGUUGUGGGCUGCAUCAUGGUUAUACACAGCCACACAAGAUCAGAAGUUUAGGAAGUUUAUAACAGAAGAAGCAGUGAGUGCAGUUGUGGAUGAGUUUAAUUGGGAUCUCAAAUAUGCUGGAAUCCAAGUCCUCCUUUCCGAUGUUCGUUAAACCCUAAUCUUUAAAUCCCAAAAUCAUCGAUUCAACUAAACCCCAUUUUUUUUGUUUUUUGCAAUGAAUCUAAUCAUCUCACCAAUGCUUGUUUGUGUGUGUGUAUGUAUAUAUAUGAUUGCAGACUUUCCUUCAAAGCAAUGAUGAGGCUUUGAAAAUCUUCAAGGACCAUGCUGAUAGUUAUAUUUGCUCUGUGCUUCCUCAAAGUCCUUAUUUCAAAGUACCCAAGACUCCAGGUCUCUACUUCACUUCUCCAUCAUCAUGUUUGCUUUUCAAAAAGAUUGAAAACUAACCGAGUACUAAUCUGAAAUAAGGGAAUGGAUUGGUUUACUCAUGAACUGGCAGUUGAAUCGUUUUUUUUUAUUUUAUUUAAAUAUUUUUAUCAGUGGUGGAUCUUAGGACUAAGUUUUUUUAAAAAAAUUUAAGAAUUUUAAUAAGAUUUUUUUAAAAAAAUUGAGGGUCUAAUUAAAAAUUUAAAUUUUUUUGUGAAACUAAUGAGAACUUUUAAGAAGGCUUAAUUAAAAAAAAAGGUAUAAUGAAAAUUUUCAGUAAAUUGAAAACGCCUAAUAAAAUUUUCUAAAAAUUUCAAGGGAAAAUGAGAAUUUCCAAAAAUUGGGGGUCUAAUUAAUUUUUAUUUUAAAUUUUAAGGGGAAAUGAAAUUUUCCUAGAAUUUGGGGCCGAUUGGUCACCAUUACAGUUUCAUUUGAUUAUUAUGAUUUUAAAAUAAUUUAUUCAAUUGAACCGAUAGACGAAUCAAAAAUUAAUGAUUUGAUCAGUUUAAUUAUUGGUUCUGUUUUGAAAAAUCUUGGUUGAUUAAUGAAAAUAUGACAAUUUAUAUAUUUCAGGUGGUUUGAUCCAUUUAAGAGAUGGAGCUAACCUCCAAUACGUUACCGGAGUUUCGUUCCUCUUCAGUAUCUACGGUGACUUGCUUCAACGUCACAACAUAAAGGUCAAAUGCGACUGCCAAGAGUUUGACGCCUCUACCAUCUUAAAUUUUGCUAAGCAACAAGUAAACCCUAAAAUCUUAAAUCUUAAAUCGUAAAUCUGGACUUCGAAUCUUCUUCACUUAGGGAUGAAUUUGAAUUUGUAGAUGGAUUACAUACUCGGGGCAAACCCACUAGGGAGAUCAUACAUGGUAGGGUUCGGGAACAAUCCACCAACACAAGCCCACCAUAGGGGUGCAUCGAUACCAUUAUCGGAAGCCAACGUGGACAUCAAUUGCGGCAUGAGUUUCGCCCGUUGGUUCAAUAAGAACUCACCGAACCCUAACGAGUUAACUGGCGCCAUCCUCGGUGGACCGGACAAGCAAGAUAAGUUUAGUGAUCUACGUUGGACGUCGAUCUACACCGAGCCAUGCACUUACGUUAACUCUUUAGCUGUGGCAGGUUUGGCAAAGCUUACUUGCCAUAAGUAAUAAACCAUAGUCUAUAAUUUUGUCAUUUGUAACUUAUUUUUACCAUGUAAGAUAAAAAAAUGGACCAAUUUACUGCAUGAAAUAUUGAACUUAUAUUGUGGUGCAUUAAACACAAUUUUUUUUUCUUUUUUUAACGUAGAGGGGAAAUGUAUUAAUAAUUUGAUAUAAUAUUUUAAAUAAAUAUAUAUUUUUAAUCCCUCCAAAAAUUAAUAAAUCAGUUUUCAGCCUUUUUAAACAUACCCCUUUAAUACUAUGUAUCAAUAUAUAAUUAUCUAAUUGCAUAGUUAAAGAAAACUUUGGUUUAAUUUUUUAGUAAAAUUCAUGCAUGAAAGUCACUUAAUAUAGGAUAAAAGGGUUAUGGAUACAACUAAAUAACCCCUUAAAAAAUUUGACUUUGUCCUUGAUGAAUAGAAUUUUGAGAUUAUUUUCUCAUAUAUGACUUGAAUUGAAUAAAUUCAUACAAUUAAAUACUUUAAAUAUCAUUAUUUUACUAUUUUGAUUUUUUUAUUUGUUUACUAUAUAUAUUUAUUGCAAUUGAUUAGGAUAAUAUAUAUUCGUUUUGUACAUAAAAUCAUGUUAAAUAUGAUAAUUUUUUUAAUAUACAUUAGAAAUUAAGAUAGAUGGGUCCUUUUAAAAAUGUUUUGUCCAGGUGCAAGGAUAGCCAUAGGAUCAAAACUAGCCUUCCUCUCUACAAAUCUAGUCCAUUGAUUCCCAAAAUGCCUUUUCCACUGCUCUUUCGACUGGUAAUGAGGGAGAUAUAGCUUGAAAUCUAAACCCUCUUUGAUGCACCAUUCGACGAUUUCCCGGUUUUGUGCCACCGAUUCCUCGACCGACGGCCCUCUCGAUACGAACCGAAGCAAUGCCACAAGGUAAAAGAUUUCGCUGUCUGGUAACGCCACCGACGUACGAUUAUCCCACCUGAAAAAACACAUUGCAUUUCACGUGUUAGAAAAUAUCCUUCGUAAAGUUUAAUGACAUUCGUAAAGUUGUCGGGGUGCACAUGUACGUGAAAUUGGCUCCCAUAAAAUUAAGUUUAAGACCAAUUUAAAUCUGAGUUAUCGUAUGAGGACGUCUAGUGGAAUUUACCCUCAUAAAAUUAACCGUGUCUGAUGAGGUGAAAUUGGCUGCGGUCCCUAAGCUCUACAGAUGACACGUGUCGAGAUACUAAGCUUUUGAUGAGACCUCAUCAUCUAAAGCGUGGCAGACAUGCAGUUUGGGAAUACAAUCAAAGGGUCCACAAAAAUGUGUUUGUGCGAGUCAUGAUUAAUUGAAUUUAAAUAAUAAAAAUAAUCAAAUUUAAUUAUGAAUAUAUUAAAAUUAAUAUAUUGUGCAUGAAAAAUCAUUAUUGAACAUUUUCAUAAAUGUUUGGCUUAUUAUUUUGAAUUUUUUUACCCUUACAUUGAGCCUUAAGGUGCGAAAUGGGAAAUACUCACUUGCUUCGCAUAAGAGGGUAGAUCAGCAUGGGACCACCGAUUCCAUCUUUCACCAUCUUCUUAAACACCGUCUGAUCAAAGUCAACGAUGUCUGAUUUGGAGAUGAAGAGGUUCAACCAUGGAUGCGGGGCAUCCCAAAUGCCAUUGGCCUUCGCUUGUUCCUCCGCACGCUUCACACGCAAUAAAAACUCCACGUAGCUGAGGUCCACCUCAGACUUCAACCCCUCCACGAAACGCAGCGGUUUUAAGAGUCCGGCCACGGCCUGCAAAAGGGGAAACACAGUAAAAUAAAGAUGGAGUUAGGGGCAAUCACGUUAUUUUCAUAUAGAAUAUAUGUACAUUAACAUAAUAUAUAUGUAGCACGUUAUAUAUUAUUGUUUGAUUACUUUAUUAAUUACGUUUAUUUUUAACAUAAAUAGAUAAAAAUUUUAAUAAAAAAUUAAUUUAUUUUUAAUUUAAUAAAAAUAAUUUAACUCUUAAUAAAUUAUUUUCAAACUAUCAAUAUUCAAUUAUACACGUAUUUUAAGAACCCUUAAACUCAAAUCAUUAAAUUAAUGGGAUGUGAUUUUUAAAAUUUUAGAUGAAUUUGGAACAUUUGAUAAAAGAAAAAAAAAGUAAUGAAUAAUAAUUUCUUUAAAAAAAUUAAUAACAAAAUAUCAUAGCAUUAGUGAAUUAUUCGGUUCGUGAUAUGAUGGGAUUCGAUAAGAGGCCCGCCCUCAGUCGCUGAGGGUUGUACACGUAUAACCAAUUUAGAAAUUUUCCCUUCACUUUUUCCUCAUUGUCCGGCUUCGGACAUUGUUGAUUAAGUGGACCCACUGAAAAUUGUCAAUUUCAGUCAUCUUUUUUAUACCAUUCGUUGACUGCUUAAGGUUCUAUAUUGUUAUGUCACUACAUGAUGCGGGUGAUUGUUAAUAUAUAUAUCAUACAUAAUUGUAUAUUAAAAAUUAGAUUAUAUUUUAUUCUUUUUUAAAAAUAGAUAAAUUAAUUAUUAUACGUUAAAUUAAUAAAAAAUUAGUUAUAUUUAUCAAAUUAUACUGUUAAAAAUUGAUAUAAUUAACAGAAUAACCGAAUAGUGAAAUAUGAUAUGCCAUGUGUACAUCAUGUUGAUGUGCAAUGAUCAGUUUUUAACAGUAAAAAUCGAUAUAAUUUUAACAAAAAAUAAUUUUCUAUUUGAUUUAAUGUAUAGAGACUCAUUUACGCAUUUUAUAAGUAGAAGAGAUAAUAUGUAAUUUGACUUCUAAUGUAGGGGCGACCAUAUUUCUUUUACUUAAAAAAUCCAAAUAAUGAAUAUAUAUAUAAUUAUGGUUUUAAUUUUUUAUAAUAAUUUUGGAUUUGAGAUUUUUCAACUUUAUUUUUUAAAAAAUAUUUUUUAUAAUUUUUGUACAUUAUUUAGUAAAGUUUCAAUUUAUUUAUUCAUAAAUAAUAAAAUUAAAGUAAAGUAAAUAAAAAUAAUUAAUAACUUAUAUAUAGUAUUUUUGGAAAAAUAAUUUAUUUUUAUCGUAAAAAUUAGAAUUAAUUAUAAAUCAAAUAAAAACACAAAAUCCAACCCGUUUAACUGAGAUUUUUAACUUAUGAAAAAAAUUGUCCAAACACCAUUGGUUCAGAUGUUAACAAAAGAAAUCCUGUUGUCAAUUUCUCGGUUUCCUUUGCUCGACCUAAUAAUAAUAUUUUAAAAAUAGAGAGAAAAUAAUGUCAAGUUAUAGUAAAGAGAUUAAAUCUCUAAUUGCAACAUAAUGGAGGGACUAAAACCAUAAUUAGACAAAAAAAUUUAUUACCUUAUCUACAGUCGAAGGGUGGUCCCCCUUCUGGUAAAGAAAAGCCACUUCAAGACAGUAGAGGACUGAGGCACCGGUUUGAGGGAUAAUCCCCUGGUUGAACCCAUGAACAGGGUCCAAUGGCACGGAUGGCCAUCCAUUAACAGGGUCAUCAUUGUUGCAAAAUACAAAUCCUUCUACGUAAUCAAACGACUCGCCGUCGUCCCGACUCACCAGAAACUCAGCAUCCCGAGUGAACUCGUCGAACUCGGUGUACACCACCCUUAUCCACCUCACCUAACAACACAAAUAAAUAAAUAAAAAGACAAAAUCACCGUACAUGCAGUGUCUCGAAACAGUGAAACCCACCAUGUCUGGAGCUGGUUGAAGCUUAACCAUGGCUCUGGUAAUAAUACCGAACUGACCAAGCCCACCGAGGGAUCCGAAAAAGAGUUCCGGAUUUCGGGUUUCGGAACAAACCGUUAUGUCUCCUUUUCCGGUAAUGAUUUCCAGUUCCGUCACGUUAGAUAUCUGAGGACCAUAACGGAAAGCUUGACCGCUAACGCCGGCGUUAGAUAACGUCCCACCAACCGUUAAGCUCAAGUAAUCAGUCCAUGACCUCGGAGCUAAACCGAACCGUGAAACACACCUUGUCAAGACGUUUUCCCAUAAUGCCCCGCCGGAGACGUCGAUAAAAAAGGAACCGUUAAUGUUUAAGAGUCGGAAAUGGUUUUCCUCUGUAGAACGCAUGUCUAUUACUAGCCCUCCGUUUGUCAUCGCUUGACCAUUGAUAGAAUGGCCGUUACCCCUCGCCGCUACCGUCAUACGUGGGAUACGUGACGCGGCUUUGAUGACCCGAGAAACGUCGUCUGAUCCGGCAGGUUUGAUUAAAGCUAACGGUUUGGUUGAAUAAAGACCGCCGAAGUCUUUGCUGGCUAUGGUGGUUUUGUCACCGGUCUCGACACUGCCUUGGAGGUCGAUGGAUUUGGAUAAGGUUGAAACGCCGCCGUUGGGUUUCGGUUCGCCGUCGGUUUCGUGUACGGUUCGGUCCAAGUAAGCUAUCCUCAUGUUUCUGUUAUUUACUUUAAAUCGAAAAGUAAGCUUUAGUGCAGAGGUAAUGACCACAGGGGAGGAGGGACUUAAAUAAGGACGGAAAUGGAAGGUUUAUGAAGAUUUUCUUUUAAUGAUUUUUAAUUAAUUAAUUUAAUUUUGAAGGGUUGGCGUCGGCUUAAUUUAAUUAAAUUUAAUGUUGGAGCGCUUAAAUGGUUUUUAAUUUAACUUUUAAUUUAAUCAAGGAGUAUAGAUAUAGUGCAAUUUCUAUAUAAAAAAUAUAAUAUAAUUGUCGAUUCAGUAUUAACUUGAUUGGCAUAAGUAUUAUUGUUAAUAUAGGAGGACAUGAGUUCGACUGCGUUGAAGCGCAUUAUCUUCCUAUUUAUGAGUUGAGAAGAAGCUAUAAGUACUUCUACUCAUGUUUCCAAAAAAGAACAAAUAUGAUGUCUUAAAAUUGACAACAAUUCUCACGUUGGGAUUUAAAAGUAUUUUGGUCUAAAUUAACUCUUGAAGUUGGUAAUUGUUCUCAUAUAGUCAUAUUAGGGCUUAAACUAGGUGAUUGUUCCUACAGAGACAAGGCUAGAAUUUGCCUAUGAUUUGCCUAUGAUCACUCCUUAUAAUGUAUGAUUAGACUAAUAUUCAGAAUAUAUCUAAACAAGGUCAAUACACGGUAAUACUCAAAUUUGGAAUCUCAAUAUUUUAUUUUUCUUUUGAUACAAUGAGCCUAGAACUAGGUUAUGACCCUUUCCCACCCUUAGAUAAGAGGAUGAACACGUUUCAGUGCCAUCGAACUCACAUCCUUCUGCUUUGAUAAUAAUAUCGAUGCCAAUCAAACUUAUACCCAAGCAUUAAACCAACAUGACAAUUAAUGGUUAUUUUUGAAGUUUGAGCUUGAUACAAUAUAGAAUAUAAAUGGCUCAAUUAAACUCAUUUAACUAGUCCAACUUUUGUAUGAUUUGUAUUAUGUGUACUUAUAAUUUGUACUUGACAUGCACUUGUAAUUAUAUUAUAUUUGUAUUAGCGAAAUUUUCAAAAAAAAAAUUCAAAUUUGAUUUGAUAAUCACUGAAUCACGUGCAUUUUUUUAAUUGUACUUUUAAAUAAAAAUAUAAGCAUCAUCUUGUUUAUAAAAAAAUAGAUAAAUCUCAAUGUACUAAAGAUUAUAAUUUAAUUAAUAUGAUAAUCUUGUUACUUAAUCAAUGAUGUUGCUUUGCAGUUUUCAUGUUGUUGAAGUAUAAAAAUUAAAAGUAACAAAAUUUCUUUAAUUGUAAGAAUAAAGUUAAAAUACAAAAAAAAAUUAUUAUGCAAUAUGGUUAAAGUCAACUUAUUAAUUAAUUGAAACAACAACAAUUAAUAUUUGAUGGUACUGAAUUAAAAGAUUAAGAAGAACCCACACAUUUCACCAGGACAAAAAUUUGAUAUAUUAUGGUUGGACCAUUAAUUAAACUAUUUAAAGUCAAAUGGAUUUUAUAUAUUUUUUAAAAAUAAUUAAAUAAUGAUUUUAAAUUGAAAUGGGUGUAGCAUUUGAACUGCUGGUAUGUUUGUAAGCAACAAGAAUAUUCAUGAAAUCCAGUGGAGAAGCUUGGAUUUAAAAUAAUUAAUUUUAAUUUUAGUCAAAACAAAUAAUUAAUUUUAAUUUUAGUCAAAUAAUUUUUUUAGUGGAGGAAACAUUAGAUAAUUACUUAAUAAAAAUAUAUAAUAGUGUGUGAUGUUAUAAAGAAAAAGAAAAUGUGGUUUAAGGGUCUUGAUCCUCAUUAGUUUACACGGUGCAAAAUUUAAGAGGGUUUGAGUAAAACUAUUAAACUUGAAAGAUAAGUUUAGAUAAAAAUUAGGCCUGUCUAAAAUAUGAAUCGGACUUGAACUUAACAUUUAAGAUCCGAGCUUAACCUAAUCGGUUUCUUGAUUUUGUAAUAUAUAGUUUUAUUUUAUUACGAAUGUAAUUUAUGCCGUGUAAAGUUUAAAUUUAUAAUAAUAUAUAAUAUUAUUAUGUAAAUUCAUAGGUAGUACAUGUGAUUAAUGUGAAUUUAAGGGUAUAAAAAGUAAAAUUAAUGAAUUAUUUUUUCCUGUUAAAAAUAAAAUAGUAUUCAGAUAAUCAUUGACUUUAUUUAAUUACUAUAUUUAUUAAAAAUAUUAUUUUAUUCUAUGCCCGCUAAUAAAAAUGUUAAUAUGGAAUUAAUUUAUUUUUUAAGGGUGGGAAGUCAAAUGAUUUUUUUUUUUGGACUUUAAAAAAGUCAAUUUCUUAAUAUUUUUAAUUGAAAGUCGGUGAGUAAAUUUCGCCUCCAAUUUAUCUUUUUCUUUAAUAUUUUUUUUUUAAUUUUGAGACGGCUAAAAUAUAUUCAAAUUUAAUUCUUAAAUUAUUCAACUAUAUUAACUACAUAUUAGGUCUCUUGUAAACUUAAGCGAAAGGAUUUAAAUAAUAUUAAUUUUUGUAUUUUAAGUCGAUUAAUUUUGAUGUUAUAUUAUUCGAAUUUUAAAAUUUUAAUCAUAAUUAAAUGGUAAUCGUUAAAUACGUUAGUAUAAAUCGUAGAUUUAGUUCAUAUUAUCAAUUUAAUCGAUUUUAACCUCCUCACUUAGUCCUAUUUGCGAGUGUUAUGUAGAAAUAACAAGUAGACAUAAUAUUACACAUGUGGUAAUAUUUUUGUCAUGAGAUUUUGAAAAUAAUAUAAUUUAAAUAAAGUAGUGUUUCGAGAAAAAUAAUGAAAAUUAAGUAGUCAAUUGUUUAUUAAUAUAACAUUCACGAUAAUUUUUUAAAUCCAUGAAUUUCAUUCUUAUAAUUUAUAUAAAUAAAAUCGAGCAUUAAUGAAUUAACCGUUAUUAUUUGAUCAAGAUUGAAAUUUGAAAAUUUAAUUUUCUUUAAAAAUAAAAAUUACUAAAUUAUAUAUGAUUAAGCUAUCUUUUCAAUAAUAUUUGAGGAGACAGUUUCACUAGUUGAUUUUUAGUUGUUUUUAGACUUCUUUUAUGGUGAACAUUAGAUCGAUUUGUUUAUAUUUUUAUAUAUUUAAAAUUUAGUCCAUUUAUUUUUCUUUUGAGAAAUUUGAUCUCUUUUACUUUUUAAUUUUUAAAAUUCAAAUCAAAUCAUUAAUAUUAUUAUUAUUUGAUUAAAUUCAUUGGUCUGACAUUUUUAAAUUCAAAAAAUAAAAGGACUAAAUUAUAAAUAUAUAAGAGUAUAAGGACUUAGGUCGCGUUUUAACCUAAAAACAAAAGACAUGUCCGAAGUUCUCCAACCGUUGCCCUCGUUUCACAACGGUCAUUAACUGCCAUCUCGCGCCUUUUCCACCCAUAUAAAACAAGUUUCGUAAACAACAGCCUCCCCAUUCUCAAUUGUCGGCUGUUCACGGUGGCGCUUCUAUUUCUAGCGCCACCAACGACGGCCAAUAACUCCUUUCAAUCUCUUCAAGGAAAACCACCAUGGGGGAUCCAAACUCCGACCUGUUUAAUGACACCCAAUACUCAGAGGAAUUCAUGGAAAUAAUCAACGCCGCCAUUAAUGUCACUUCUUUAGAGCUUUGGGAUACGAAUCCGUUCAGUGGAGAAACCAGUAAUAAAAUCGAAACGAAUUUGGGUGGAAAUGAAAUCCCGGAACCCGUUCCCCUGCAAUUACCGACGAACGAUGACUUUCCUGUUGAUAUUGAUAGUCUUUUAGUGGACCCGAGUGAAAAUAAGUUGGGAAUUGAAAUCCCGGAACCAGUUUCCCUGAAAUUACCUACGAGCGAUGAACCUUUAGAUAUUGAUAGUCUUUUAGUGGAUCAAACAGAAAUGAACUUGGGAAAUGAAUUCCAUGUACCGUUUUCAUUUCCUUCUUUGAAAGCCAUUGUUGAAUACAAUGGAGAAACUAGUAAUCAAGGGAAAACAAAUCCGGGAUUUGAAUGUUAUUGUUGCGAAAUAUUGAGGGAAAUUAAUCAUUUUGAUGGUAAUGUUCUUUUUUUUGAAUUUUCGGUAAAAAUGGCUGAUUUUAGCAGAGAUUUAUGUUGUUCUUUGUUUUACAGGUGGAAUUGUAACGAAACUGCAACUACAUGGAAGAUUAGUUGGAGUUCUGUUUCAUGCAGUUCUUGAUGUUGCGCAAAGUAACCAAGUUGUGUCUCGUGAAGUGUUCAAGUAAGGGUUUUUCAUUCUUCUUUUUCUUUUUUACAAAGGUCGGGAUUGUUCCGGGAUUAACAUAAGACGGGAUUGAAUUGGGGAAUUAAAAAAGUUUCGAUUUUUCUUUUUGAACAGUUUCCGUGGGAAAAGCUUGCUGGAAGUGAAGCAGUUUCUAAGAGAGUAUUGCAUGAAGAGAAAACAAGAGGGAUAUACAAUGCUGAAGGAUCCAAGAUCUAGUUUUUUUGAAGCAUUAUGCAUAGGGUUUGAUUGGUACGAAAAUCCGACUACCAAUACGAACCUAGGUACCCGACUUCCCCGAAUAUACUUGUAUCAAUCACAUAUUUAGCAACAAAAUAUAAUGAUAUUUGUUUUAUAGAGGACAUUCCAAACAACUUGGGGCAGGCAUCGGUCUCUAACACGGAACAAGUUGUUGCUACAACAACUAACGAAGCUGACAGCAAUAGCAAUGACAACAAUCAAAAGUCUUCGAUUUCCUUAACGGAACAGGUCAAAACUAAUGCUGUUGAGUUCGAGUUCGGGUUCGGAUUUCUUUUUACUGAAAAUAUUCAUAUUAAUGUUUAAAAUUUUUUGUUUAAACCACAGCGAAAGAGAAUAAAAGAGAUGAGAUUAAUUGAUUUAGCAUUAUUUGCAUCUGCCAAGGAAAGAAGCAGCCCAAAAACUUGGAUUAUCCGAAACUGUAGUCCACAACAUAUGGUGCAAAGGCAACGGUGGUGGCAAACGAAGGUGGCCUCAUCGAAAGGUGAUCGCAAAAACUGACAUUUGUUACUGCAUUUGCAUAUAUCAUGUUUAGUAACAGUUUUUUUUAUUGCAUUUGCAUAUAUCAGAUCCAAAGCAAAGUGAAGGAAAUCAUGAAAUGGAGAGAGCUAUUGAGUUCAGAUGAUCCACAGGUAAGAGAUCGUGCUGGAGUUGAAAUCCUUCUGAAACAAGAAGAGUUGGCUCAAAUAUAUAGAGAAGGUUUAUCGCAAUAUUUUUUCUGAGAGUUUGAAGGCCACAUUAUAAUUUUUGGGAUUAUUUUGGAUUUGUUUGAAUUGUAGUAAAAACUACAUCUACAUUAUUAUUUGGGAUCCUCCUUAUUUAUAAUUAUUUCAUGUUCUGGGUUCAUUUUUCUUCUCAUUUCAUCAACUUCUUUGAUCAUCGAUAAAUCCGUAUUUUUUCUACGAUUACAAGUCACCACAUCACCUCCUCCUCUACUAAUGUUAUUUUGUGUAUAAGUAGAAACGCACCAGGACCAACUAUAUAUACUACCAACCAAACGUAUUAACGCCGAUUCAACAAUAAUUAAAGAAGUAUCAAAAAAUAAAAAAAAUAAAUCAAUUCAAUCACCAUUUUGUCUUGAUUUACAAUAUUUAUAUCGGUUUUGAAGAAUUUACUCAUUAGUUGAUUUAAUCACUUUGUUUGAACAAAUAUACGAACUAAUCAAUCUUAUCUAAUUCCAACAACACUACCACCAUCAUGAUAGGCUAUAUAGUUGAUAACUAGUUCCACCAUAGAAACAAUAAGGAAAAUGUCUAUUGCUGGGUUUGUAUUAGCACUUAUACUUCAAUCAAAUUUAAAUUUUAGUCCUUAUAUAUCCUUCUCCUUUCCAAUGUGUUUAGAAUUAGAAUGGUGGUUGAAUCAGUCAAGCCAUCAGUCCGUCGAUCUAAUUAGUCUGUUUGAUUCGAUUAACAAGCCAUUAAAGAAAUCAUAGAAAAUAUAAAAUAUUAAAAAUCUGUUUAGAAAAAACAAAAAUCCUUCUCCUUUCCAAUGUGUUUAGAAUCAGAUUGGUGGUUGAAUCGGUCAAGCCAUCAGUUUGUCGAUCUGAUUAGUCUGUUUGAUUCGAUUAACAAGCCAUUAAAGAAAUCAUAGAAAAUAUAAAAUAUUAAAAAUCUGGUUCAACUACUUCAGUUUAAAAUUAAUCAGUUUAAAAUCCAUAAACUAAUUCAGGUUUUAUUAUCCCUAAUCCUGUUAGAAUAAUUAAUUUAUACACCACAAUGAAUUAAAAGAAACCUCCACAAACGAGCUUAGAAUAUUAUCAUGUGUCCUUAUAAAAAUUAAAAUAAAAUUACAAAAUUGAUAGUUUAACAACCACUUGUAACCCCAAAAAACCCUUCAAGGACCAUUUUAAAAAUUAGGGUAUAGUUUAGGAACCAAUUUGCAAAUAAAACCAUAAAAACUAAAUAAAAAACAGCCCAUUUAGCUAAAUUGAAUCUUAUAUAUCUUUUACGCCUAAACCGAACGAAGCCCAGUUUUUUCUCUUCACCCUUUUCUCCAAUCACCAAAUUCGCGAAAUAGCAAUUAAGCGAAGGGGUUCGGGGUUUCAAGCUAAAAACUAUUAGUUAAAGAGUUACAGAAAAACAUAUGGGGGAUCCUUAUUAUAGAUACCCUUCAGCUGCUGCAGAUAGAGGUACUUUGUUUUACCCCUAAAUUUAACAUUUUUUUUGCAGCCCAGAGUGUUAACUUGUUUGAUUAUUAGGAUUUUGUUCUUUGGGACAUUGCGAAUUCUUACUCUUUGUUGUUCUUUGAUUUGAAUUUAGCUUCUUUUUCCCCUGUAAUGGGUGUGUUUUUAUAUGAUAUUGUUUGAACCUGUUUAGCUCU
rnacentral:lncRNA from 1 species